AUUCUGGCUCAGGAUGAACGCUAGCUACAGGCUUAACACAUGCAAGUCGAGGGGUAGCAGGGUAGCAAUACCGCUGACGACCGGCGCACGGGUGAGUAACACGUAUCCAACCUUCCCAUAACUCAGGGAUAGCCUUUCGAAAGAAAGAUUAAUACCUGAUAGUACUUUUUCAAGGCAUCUUGAGAAAGUUAAAGAUUUAUUGGUUAUGGAUGGGGAUGCGUUCCAUUAGAUAGUUGGUGAGGUAACGGCUCACCAAGUCUUCGAUGGAUAGGGGUUCUGAGAGGAAGGUCCCCCACAUUGGUACUGAGACACGGACCAAACUCCUACGGGAGGCAGCAGUGAGGAAUAUUGGUCAAUGGGCGAGAGCCUGAACCAGCCAAGUAGCGUGAAGGAAUGAAGGUCCUAUGGAUUGUAAACUUCUUUUAUAGUAGAAUAAAGUGAUCCACGUGUGGAUUUUUGUAUGUAUACUAUGAAUAAGGAUCGGCUAACUCCGUGCCAGCCGCCGC
rnacentral:rRNA from 1 species